UGGCUCUGGCAUCGAUGAAGAACGCAGCGAAAUGCGAUAAGUAGUGUGAAUUGCAGAAUUCAGUGAAUCAUCGAAUCUUUGAACGCACAUUGCGCCCUUUGGUAUUCCUUAGGGCAUGCCUGUUCGAGCGUCAUUUCAACCCUCAAGCUCAGCUUGGUGAUGGGCAGUUGUCUCUCCGCACUCGUGCGGCGGACUUGCCUCAAAUUUACGGAGGGCAAGCUUCUUUCUCGGCUCAAGACGCAGCAGAUUUGCGUCGCGUGCCCGGGCGAGGGGGCUUUCCCAAAGAAAACCCCGAAUUUUGACCUCGGAUCAGGUAGGGAUACCCGCUGA
rnacentral:misc_RNA from 1 species